UUGAGCUAAGUAAAUGUGCCCCAAAGUGUAAGAGAGAAAAACAGAGCUCUGUCCAUUCAUUGGCUGAUGUGGCCUAACAUGAAUUUCUGUUUCUUAGAGUUUGUUUGACUAUUUAAUUGUAUGAUCCAGGGACAGCCCUUAAUAUGGGAAAUGGCAGGCCUUCUAUUUCAGAUUUUUUAAAUUUAGAUACUAAUUAAAAAAUAUUUAUUAAAAUAGAUAAUUUAAAUUAAUUCUCAGUUGUGAUACAGACAUUCAAUUUUGAAGAGUAUUCAAGUAAUCUUUUUAGGCAUUAUCAAUAUAAAAAUGUUCCAUAUAGAAAUGAUUGAACUUGAUUGUGAAACGAAAGUCCUUACAUUAUUUUCAUUAACUGUUGGUGGUGUGUGCCAUAUUUCUCUGUUGCUCUGUUCUCAAAUUAGGUCUCUGCGUGCAGGAGAGGAGACGCUUAAACAGGUUUUUGCUCCAUCUUGGAUUUAUUUCGUUUCAGGGAGCCCUUUGCUGCUAUCAAUAAAACCAAUCUAAGAAUGAAACCUCACGAAAAAUUUCAAAAAUUGCAAGAAGACUAUCGUAAAGGUCUUAUAGAUCAAAAGUCGUAUUCUGAACAAACCAGUAUACUCUUCAGUCAGCCAAAUCCAUUAAUUGACCAUCGAGCCAGAGGUGAUAUACUGUUAUGUAUUUAAUUUUUUAUUUCUGGUGUGUUAAGUUCUGUAGUUAGAUCCAAAGAAUAAUCCAGCAUCGCUUGAAUUGUUAAAUCCAUUAUUAUUUGUCUAGUGUACUGUAUAACACUCUUAAUUAAGUCUUUAUAACCAUCCCUUCAAACAAAUACUAAUUCAAAGGCAAACUAUAUCCCAAAAACUAAUACUUGAGCAACCAAUACUUUAUAUCAUAUCAAGUGGCAUUUUAAAGAAUCUUGCCAAACUGAUAGAUAGA